GACGAACGCUGGCGGCGUGCUUAACACAUGCAAGUCGAACGGUAAGGCCCUUCGGGGUACACGAGUGGCGAACGGGUGAGUAACACGUGGGUGAUCUGCCCUGCACUUCGGGAUAAGCCCGGGAAACUGGGUCUAAUACCGGAUAGGACCACUGCCUGCAUGGGUGGUGGUGGAAAGCUUUUGCGGUGUGGGAUGGGCCCGCGGCCUAUCAGCUUGCUGGUGGGGUGAUGGCCUACCAAGGCGACGACGGGUAGCCGGCCUGAGAGGGUGACCGGCCACACUGGGACUGAGAUACGGCCCAGACUCCUACGGGAGGCAGCAGUGGGGAGUAUUGCACAAUGGGCGCAAGCCUGAUGCAGCGACGCCGCGUGAGGGAUGACGGCCUUCGGGUUGUAAACCUCUUUCAGCACCGACGAAGCGCAAGUGACGGUAGGUGCAGAAGAAGGACCGGCCAACUACGUGCCAGCAGCCGCCGUAA
rnacentral:rRNA from 1 species